rnacentral:lncRNA from 1 species
UCUCAUUAGAUGCUGUGAUACAUUUCAUAAAAUUCAACACCCUUCAUGUUAAAAGUCUUGGAAACAGCAAGAAUUCAAGGUCCAUACCUAACCAUAGUAAAAGCAAUAUGCAGCAAACCAGUAGCCAACAUCAAACUAAGUGGAAACAUGAAUCACUAAAAUCAGGACUAGACAUGGCUGUAAACUUGCUUCUUACCUAUUCAAUAUAGUACUUGAAAUCCUAGGCAGUGCAUUCAGAAAACAAAAUGAAAUCAAGGGAAUACAGUUUGGAAAGUUAGAAGUCAAAACAUCACCAUGUGCAGAUGGUAUAAUACUAUAUUUAAGUGACCCCAAAAGUUCCAACAGAGAAGGACUAAAACUGAUAAACACCUUCAGCAAAAUGUUUAGAUAUAAAAUUAACCCAAACAAAUCAUUAGCCUUCCUCUACUCAAAGGACAAACUGGCUGAGAAAGAAAUUAGGGAAAUGACACCCUUCAAAUAGUCACAAAUAAUAUAAAAUACCUCAGUGUGACACUAAACAAGCAAGA